UGGGGAAUAUUGGACAAUGGGCGAAAGCCUGACACAGCAACGCCGCGUGAAGGAUGAAGUCCCUCGGUAUGUAAACUUCGAAAGAAUAGGAAGAAUAAAUGACGGUACUAUUUAUAAGGUCCGGCUAACUACGUGCCAGCAGCCGCGGUAAUACGUAGGGACCAAGCGUUGUUCGGAUUUACUGGGCGUAAAGGGCGCGUAGGCGGCAAUUCAAGUCAUCUGUGAAAUCUCCGGGCUUAACUUGGAACGGUCAGAUGAUACUGCUUUGCUAGAGUGCAGAAGGGGCAAUCGGAAUUCUUGGUGUAGCGGUGAAAUGCGUAGAUAUCAAGAGGAACACCUGAGGUGAAGACGGGUUGCUGGGCUGACACUGACGCUGAGGCGCGAAAGCAUGGGGAGCAAACAGGAUUAGAUACCCUUGUAGUCCCUGAGCGGGCUGGCAAGGCGCAU
rnacentral:rRNA from 1 species